ACUCAAAUGAAUUGACGGGGACUCGCACAAGCGGUGGAGCAUGAGGUUCAAUUCGACAAUAAACGAAAAACCUUACCAAGGCUUGAAAUGCACUUGAAUACAGGUGGAAACAUCUGUAGCCCCUUAAAAGGCAAGUGCACAGGUGCUGCAUGGUUGUCGUCAGCUCGUGCUUUGAAGUGUUCCCUUAAGUGGGGUAACGAGCGCAACCCGCACUGUGUGUUAUAUGUGUCACACGGAACCGCCCAGCCUUUUGUUCGCAAACAACAGUUUGUUAAUAAGAGGCUGGGAGGAAGGAGCGGAUGACGUCAAAUCAGCAUGGCCCUCUGAUGCCUUGGGCCACACUCGUGCUACAAUGGUCGGGACAAUGGGUUGCCAACGCGCAAGCGGGAGCUAAUCCCAUCAAACCCGGCCCCAGUUCAGAUUGGAGGCUGCAACUCGCCUCCAUGAAGCCGGAAUCGCUAGUAAUCGCGGAUCAGCAUGCCGCGGUGAAUACGUUCUCGAGUCCUGUACACACCGCCCGU
rnacentral:rRNA from 1 species